rnacentral:rRNA from 1 species
ACGAACGCUGGCGGCGUGCUUAACACAUGCCAGUCGAACGGAAAGGCCUGCUUUCCCUUGUGGAUUGCGGGUGCUCGAGUGGCGAACGGGUGAGUAACACGUGAGUGAUCUGCCCCCAACUUGGGUAUAAGCCCGGGAAACUGGGUCUAAUUCCCGAUAGGACUGCAGGGUGGUGCCUGUGGUGGAAAACGAUUUUCUAGUGGUUGGGGAUGAGCUCGCGGCCUAUCAGCUUGUUGGUGGGGUAAUGGCCUACCAAGGCGGCGACGGGUAGCCGGCCUGAGAGGGUGGACGGCCACAUUGGGACUGAGAUACGGCCCAGACUCCUACGGGAGGCAGCAGUGGGGAAUAUUGCACAAUGGGCGGAAGCCUGAUGCAGCGACGCCGCGUGGGGGAUGACGGCCUUCGGGUUGUAAACUCCUUUCGACCGCGAGGAAGCCACCUGGUUGGAAGGGUGGUGACGGUAGUGGUAGAAGAAGCACCGGCUAACUACGUG